UAGAGAGAGGGACAGCGAGAGGGGAUGGGAUAUUUGCCUACCUAUCAAAAAGCUUUCACUCCCACCACUAGCAAACAAGCGGAAGAACAAGAGUAAAAACAAGAGAGCGAGAGAACAGAAAAGCAAAGGAGACAUCAAGGAGACUUUUUCUAAAAGUGAAAGUGGGGGAGGAUGUUGUUGUAACCCCAAACGGAGGAGGAGGACAAAAAUGGACGGUCUUAUUAUUAUGGCCAAGAGUUGAGAACUAUUAAACCUGGUAUUUAAGACAGCUUUAAAUGCAAGUGGG